CGCGAGGCGGCCCCGGCCGGUAGCGGCUGCGGUUGCUCCCUGAGGCGGGGCGGGGCUUGGCGGAACGCGGCUAGCGGGACGGAGUCAGCAGACAUUGGGAAAUGUGAGGCAAAAGGAAUGUGAGUGGAUGCAGCUUCAGUUGGUUCUGAUGAUUCUGAUUCAAAGUGUUCAAAACUCUUUGGAAAGUGUUGCAGGAGUCACAGCAUUACUUUCUUCAAACUGAACCUCUGCAAACUCUUCAGGCAUGUCAGUAACAAGUUUGAAUGUUCAUGUGAACCAGGAUUUGGAAGAGAUCUCUGCUACCUCUGAAUCCAUAAACUUAGAUCCAUUUUAUUGGCUGCUCUUUGCUGGAGCUGUUGAAUGGCUGUUUGCUGUUGCCUGGGCCCUAGCCCUUGGUGUGGUUUUAAUGGGUGAAGCAUAAGCAGGGAAGAGCAAGAGUAAAAAUGAGAAGAUGGGGCUGAACUUGGCCAUCCCUCCCAUCACUGUAAUGCCAUCCA
ensembl:lncRNA